GUGGGGAAUUUUGGACAAUGGGCGAAAGCCUGAUCCAGCCAUGCCGCGUGCAGGAUGAAGGCCUUCGGGUUGUAAACUGCUUUUGUACGGAACGAAACGGCUCUUUCUAAUAAAGAGGGCUAAUGACGGUACCGUAAGAAUAAGCACCGGCUAACUACGUGCCAGCAGCCGCGGUAAUACGUAGGGUGCGAGCGUUAAUCGGAAUUACUGGGCGUAAAGCGUGCGCAGGCGGUGAUGUAAGACAGAUGUGAAAUCCCCGGGCUCAACCUGGGAACUGCAUUUGUGACUGCAUCGCUGGAGUGCGGCAGAGGGGGAUGGAAUUCCGCGUGUAGCAGUGAAAUGCGUAGAUAUGCGGAGGAACACCGAUGGCGAAGGCAAUCCCCUGGGCCUGCACUGACGCUCAUGCACGAAAGCGUGGGGAGCAAACAGGAUUAGAAACCCGGGUAGUCC
rnacentral:rRNA from 1 species